rnacentral:lncRNA from 1 species
UUCGGGGCAGCAACCCAACAACCGGUUGUCCGAUUCAUUUGAAAGUUUCAGGGCAGAUAGAUUUUCACUUCAUGAAUAAUUUUACCCAUGUCAGAUUUGCUCUAAAUGCUUUGGUUUCAGAGAUAUAAGCCAAAAUCUACAUUUCACCCCUAUGUUCUAUUUUUAGCCAUGGCGGCCAUCUUGGUUGGUUGGCCGGGUCACGCCACACAUUUUUUAAACUAGAUACCCCAAAGAUGAUUGUGGCCAAGUUUGGAUUAAUUUGGCCCAGUAGUUUCAGAGGAGAAGAUUUUUGUAAUAGAUUACUAAGAUUUACGAAAAAUGGUUAAAAAUUGACUAUAAAGGGCAAUAACUCCUAAAGGGGUCAACUGACCAUUUCAGUCAUGUUGACUUAUUUGUAAAUCUUUGCAUUUUUUAAACUAGAUACCCCAAUGAUAAUUGUGGCCAAGUUUGGUUUAAUUU